rnacentral:rRNA from 1 species
AUUGAACGCUGGCGGCAGGCCUAACACAUGCAAGUCGAGCGAGCGGCGGACGGGUGAGUAAUGUCUGGGAAAAUGCCUGAUGGAGGGGGAUAAAGACUGGAAAUGGGAGCUACUACCGCAUACACUAAGAAGUGACCAUAUGGGAUUAGCUAUGAGUGGGGGUAACGGCGCACCUAGGAGACGAUCCCUUGCUGGUCUGCGAGGAGGACCAUCCACACUGUAACUGAGACACGGUCCAGACUCCUACGGGAGGCAUCAGUGGGGAAUAUUGCACAAUGGGCGCAAUCCUGAUGCAGCCAUGCCGCGUGUGUGAAGAAGGCCUUCGGGUUGUAAAGCACUUGCAGCGGGGAGGCGUUACCCGCAGAAGAAGCACCGGCUAACUCCGUGCCAGCAGCCGCGGUAAUUC